CCACUUCUUGUGUAAUGUUUUCACUUCAAACAAAAACAAGGGGGUUAAACCCUGAGCCACCUUGGACUGGCCUUCUGGGAAAGGUGUGUCUUUUGCAUUAAAUCCUCCCUACUCGAAUUACCCUGCUGCCAUGGCCCCGGAGCUGGAGAGGAAGUGAAAGUAACUUGCAAGCUAAUGUUACAGCUGCCAGAAACAAACACAGAGCAGACGAAGCCAACAAGCUAGCUAACUUGUUUACCAAUAAACUGUCCUUGUAGCAGGGAAAACAGAAGCAAGAAUCAUUCUUGGUUCUUGGAUCUGAAUCAAGUCGACCCCAAAAGAAAAAAAGAAGCAAGCAAAAGACUGCCCAUGACCAAUCCAUAAACCGGAUAAACAUUGGAAUUAAUUUUGAAAGGUGGAAGAGUGAAUCCAAAAUGGUCAUCGUUCUCAUGGACUUGUAGGGAGAUACUGGUGGAGACAGUCUGAUUUCGAGGGAACCUGAGGUAGAAAAAUCAACACCAAAAGAGAGCAGGGCCGUAAGGAUGCAUUGCGGUCAGACUGGCUAUGAUGAUCUUCUAGUAAGGAGUCAAAGACCAGGCUCCCAGAACGUGAAGGCAGACGCAUUGGAUAGACAGACAGCGAACGCCAGCACUUUCGCACAGCCAUUGAAGAGGAGUGGGACAACAUUUCACAGGCCACAAUCAACAGCCUGAUCAACUCUACAGUAUGCGAAGGAGAUGUGUCACACUGCAUGAGGCAAAUGAUGGUCACACCAGAUAAUGACUGGUUUUCUGAUCCACGGCCAUACCUUUUUUUUAAGGUAUCUGUGACCAACAGUCAUGUGAAAUGCAUAGAUUAGGGCCUGAUUAAUUUAUUUCAAUUUACAAAUUUCCUUAGUUGAACUGUAACUCAAACAAGUGUCUCCUCCUCCAGGUAGACCCAUUGUAGCAGCGAUCGAAUCUGAUAUCCAACAUUUCUAAGUUUGUGGAUUACCACAUUAAACCGAUGGUUGCGAAUCUCCCAUCUUAUGUCAAAGACACCAGUCACAUUGAUAAAGGGCUUAGGAAGGAUACCAGAG
rnacentral:lncRNA from 1 species